rnacentral:rRNA from 1 species
UACCAGCUCUCCGAGUGGUAGGGAUGUUUAUUGGGCUUAAAGCGUCCGUAGCCGGCUUAGCAAGUCUCCUGUUAAAUUCAGCGACCUAAUCGUUGAGCCGCGGGAGAUACUACUAGGCUAGGAGGCGGGAGAGGUCAACGGUACUUCCGGGGUAGGGGUGAAAUCCUAUAAUCCCGGGAGGACCACCAGUGGCGAAGGCUGUUGACUAGAAUGCGCUCGACGGUGAGGGACGAAAGCUGGGGGAGCGAACCGGAUUAGAUACCCGGGUAGUCCCAGCUGUAAACGAUGCGAGCUAGGUGUUGGGGUGGCUACGUGCCACUUCAGUGCCGCAGGGAAGCCAUUAAGCUCGCCGCCUGGGGAGUACGGCCGCAAGGCUGAAACUUAAGGAAUUGGCGGGGGAGCACCACAAGGCGUGAAGCUUGCGGUUC